rnacentral:misc_RNA from 1 species
AAAUUUUGUUGUUCUGUUGAGGGAUUGCAUUAUUUUUGCGAUUGCUUUUGCACAUCAUUUCAAAAUUUUCUGUUUUUGCUUUGUAAAAUAGAUUGAUAGAUUUUCUUUAAUUUCGUGUUAUUUGCACGACAUUUUGAGCCAGAUAAUUAUAACCAGUAUUUCUAAUGUCGUUAAUACCUACGGUCUACUUUGUUAUUCACAGUUCUGAUUCUGGAUGGAAGGAAUUUGUUGAAUUACCGACAUAAUUCUGUGGAUUUUAUCUUUUGCUAUCUCUUAUGUGCAAUUUUUGUUUUAUUUGGAGAAUGCCAAGAAGCUUAAUUUCAUAUAAGCUCCAAUUCUUUAACCAUUGUGUUAAAUUAUCAAUAGGAUCAAUCCUAAAGUGAUUGGUCAGUAGUUCAAAUUUUGCUAAUCCAGCCGUUGGCAGUUGGUAUAUAAGCUUCAGUUUUCCAUAGACUUACUCAUGUUAUUAUUCUUUUUGUUUGACAUUUUUACCUUUUGUUAAUGGCUGCAAAUUUUUUUGUAUUAUUUUUUUUUAUCCAGUAUGCUCAUAGGAAGUGUGUU